rnacentral:rRNA from 1 species
GACGAACGCUGGCGGCGUGCCUAAUACAUGCAAGUCGAGCGGACGGAUGGGAGCUUGCUCCCAGACCGUCAGCGGCGGACGGGUGAGUAACACGUGGGCAACCUGCCUGUAAGACUGGGAUAACUCCGGGAAACCGGGGCUAAUACCGGAUAACUCUUUCCCUCACAUGAGGGAAAGCUGAAAGAUGGCAUCUCGCUAUCACUUACAGAUGGGCCCGCGGCGCAUUAGCUAGUUGGUGAGGUAACGGCUCACCAAGGCGACGAUGCGUAGCCGAACUGAGAGGGUGAUCGGCCACACUGGGACUGAGACACGGCCCAGACUCCUACGGGAGGCAGCAGUAGGGAAUCUUCCGCAAUGGACGAAAGUCUGACGGAGCAACGCCGCGUGAGUGAUGAAGGUUUUCGGAUCGUAAAACUCUGUUGUCAGGGAAGAACAAGUACCGGAGAAACUGCCGGUACCUUGACGGUACCUGAACAGAAAGCCACGGCUAACUACGUG